rnacentral:rRNA from 1 species
AGGACGAACGCUGGCGGCGUGCCUAAUACAUGCAAGUCGAGCGAAUGAUUAGAGAAGCUUGCUUCUCUCUGAUUUAGCGGCGGACGGGUGAGUAACACGUGGGUAACCUACCCUAUAGACUGGGAUAACUUCGGGAAACCGGAGCUAAUACCGGAUAAUACUUUUGAACUCAUGUUCGAAAGUUGAAAGAUGGUUUCGGCUAUCACUAUAGGAUGGACCCGCGGCGCAUUAGCUAGUUGGUGAGGUAACGGCUCACCAAGGCAACGAUGCGUAGCCGACCUGAGAGGGUGAUCGGCCACACUGGGACUGAGACACGGCCCAGACUCCUACGGGAGGCAGCAGUAGGGAAUCUUCCACAAUGGACGAAAGUCUGAUGGAGCAACGCCGCGUGAGUGAAGAAGGAUUUCGGUUCGUAAAACUCUGUUGCAAGGGAAGAACAAGUAGCGUAGUAACUGGCGCUACCUUGACGGUACCUUGUUAGAAAGCCACGGCUAACUACGUGCCAGCCGCCGC